GUCAGGGAUCCAGGUUGCGCACUCCUGAUGAGAAUCUAACUAAUGCCUGAUGAUCUGCAGUGGAAGACUUUAAUCCCGAAGCCAUCUGUAGUUCUCUGUGCAUUAGGUCAUUGCUUGGUGUCCACUGCCUGCAGCAGAAGGGCUCAUCAUUGUGUUCCCCGUGCUCACUCCCAACCAGUCCUGCUGUUUCGGCUCCAAGCAGAGAGGAGGAGGCCCUGCCUGUCUCCAUGACAACCAUGUGUCGUCCAGGAAGCUGCUCAGAGCUAAAGACCUUCUGAGGCGGGGGAGGGGCCGUUUCUGAGAAAAAACUCACCUCGUUUCUCCUCUUUGCAGCGCAAUUUGCUAAAUUGUGUCUCUUUUAUUGUGUUUUUAUAUAAGACUAUUUACACAAAAGUCACACACCCCAAACCUUAUUUCAUGAACAUAAAAGCCACAUCACAAGAAUUUUUCUAGCAUCUCGCACAUAAUUUCACACACCCCUCUCCUUUUUGUGUUAACUUUAACUUUGUCUCUAGUUCUUCAUUAUUACCCUAGAAUGCUUUAAAUAUUAAUGAACAUUCAAAAGCCAAACACUCCCUGGCAAUAUUGUUAGCAUACAUUAUGAAUACUUGAAAGGAAACACUUUUUGCUUUGCUUUGUGCUUAAAUUUACUAGUAUAAUUUAAAACUGUAGCAUUAAAAAUGUCUUACCAUUAGACGACAUUAGACGUAUGUUAUAUGUAUUAUAAAAAACUAAAUAUAUCAAAUUAAUUCACUAGAGGGUGAGCAAUUGAUUUAUAAUUGUCACAAAUCCUUAACAAUAUUUUACACAUACACAUAUUUUUGAAAAAUAAGCUUUGCUUCUAUAGCCACCCAGUGGGUUCUUUUUGCUUGCUGCAGAGAUAGACCUGAGUUUUCCAGACAGGGGAAUGGCAACAGAGAAAGUAUUGAAUACAAGUCAAGCUGGCUAAAUGGGAGGCGGGAGUUUAUUAAGACUCAAAUCAGUUUCCCCCCAAAUUCUGAG
rnacentral:lncRNA from 13 species